rnacentral:rRNA from 1 species
GAUGAACGCUGGCGGCGUGCCUAAUACAUGCAAGUCGAGCGAACAGACGAGGAGCUUGCUCCUCUGACGUUAGCGGCGGACGGGUGAGUAACACGUGGAUAACCUACCUAUAAGACUGGGAUAACUUCGGGAAACCGGAGCUAAUACCGGAUAACAUGUUGAACCGCAUGGUUCAACAGUGAAAGACGGUUUUGCUGUCACUUAUAGAUGGAUCCGCGUCGCAUUAGCUAGUUGGUAAGGUAACGGCUUACCAAGGCAACGAUGCGUAGCCGACCUGAGAGGGGGGAUCGGCACCACUGAAACUGAGACCCGGUCAAAACCCCUAGGGGAGGCAGCAGUAGGAAAUCUUCCGCAAUGGGGGAAAGCCUAACGGAGCAACGCCGCGUGAGUGAAGAAGGUCUUCGGAUCGUAAAACUCUGUUAUUAGGGAAGAACAAAUGUGUAAGUAACUAUGCACGUCUUGACGGUACCAAAUCAGAAAGCCACGGCUAACUACGU